GCAGAACUGGCGCUGUGGGAUGAACCAAACGUAAUGUUACGGUGCCCAAAUUAACAACUCAUGCAGAUACCAUGAAAGGCGUUGGUUGCUUAAAACAGCAGGACGGUGAUCAUGGAAGUCGAAAUCCGCUAAGGAGUGUGUAACAACUCACCUGCCGAAGCAACUAGCCCUUAAAAUGGAUGGCGCUUAAGUUGUAUACCUAUACAUUACCGCUAAAGUAGAUGAUUUAUAUUACUUGUGAUAUAAAUUUUGAAACUUUAGUGAGUAGGAAGGUACAAUGGUAUGCGUAGAAGUGUUUGGCGUAAGCCUGCAUGGAGCUGCCAUUGGUACAGAUCUUGG
rnacentral:rRNA from 1 species